CCCAUCCUUCCCUAGCCCACUCUUGAGGAUACUUUCUUGCCACUGUCAGGCUUACUCCUACCUCCUAGACUGAGGAAAGAAAAGCCUCCUGGUUUGGAGCUCAUAAUCAAGUCAGCCUUGCUGCAGGGCUCAUUUUAAUCCAGUAUCCUGGACCAGGCCAUAUAGGGUAACUUGCCAUGGCAUUUGUAAACUGUCAUGACGCUGGUGGGAGUGUAGCAGUGAGGACGACCAGAGGACACUUUCAUUGCCAUCUUGGUUUUGAUAAGGAAGCUGAAGCUUUGAGAAUUUAAUUUGCUCAAGGGGAGGCCAGGACAAGAAAUAAUGAAGACUCUGAUGUGGCAGGAAUGUAGGAAACAAGUCAAUGAUGGAAGAUAAAUAUGGAGACGUGAUGAAGGCAAAAUUCUGAAGGGUCUUAGAGCCCAUUAUAAGACAUUUGGUUUUUAUGACUAUGCCGUGCAAGACUUGGUAAACUGGUCCCUACUGCAGAGGAUUUUAUACAGAGCACGCUAGUGGCUCACAGAAUAUUUCACUGAUUGCGUUGCCCGCCUCUCAAAGGCCCACUUCUCUGUGGAAUGAUGCAGUUGCUAAGAAGAGCUGUUAAUGUCAUGACCUCAAUGAAUAAAAAAGACUUCCUUUUCUCCAUGCCCACUCAAGUAAAAAGCUUCUCUCUGAACUCCUGCUAAUUUUUCAUCAGCAAAGGUGCACAGCCUUUUGGAAGUGAAAUGAUUACUAGUGAAGAAAAAGAAAGAACCUAACACUUAUUUUACAAGCCUCCCAGUGACCACUCUUCAGACAAAACUUCUUAUAAUAGCUUCCUUCCCUGAAUCUUUUGCGAAACAUCAAAUCACAAGGAGAUCUUAUUGGAAUUAUCUACAUCAACACUCCUGAGAAAGAACUUAUCCUAAAGGAAAAGAAUACCGAUUAACAAGAUGUCUCUCUGGACUCACGUCUGAGUCACAAGAUUAGGGACUGCAAUCAAGAGUGGAAAAAAUCUUGAAGAAUUGACUCACUAAAGCUUCCGUCAGACAUUGACAGCUCAAUGGAGCAUUGCUUUGCAGCCCCUGUAAUGGUAAUCAUAUGAAAGCAUUUGCCCCACCCCAGGGUGACUGUGGGAACCUGGAGAAGUUAAGAAAUGAAUGUAAUGGACUGAACUGCAAGCUGUGGCAGUCUGGGUCUGGAAGGAGAAGAAGCUGUAGAAGAUAUUUUCCUUCAGUAGCUUCUCCACAGCCAUGGUGGGAGAUGGCAGAAACAGCCAACAUCACUUCUGGGAGCUGGACCACAGAAGAGAAAAAGAAACAACAGACCCAGUAGGAGAUAUCCAGCUGUGUCCAGUCCCUGUGAAGUCCCUCCAGCCCAGAACUGUGAGUUCCUGAAGAGCAGCCAUGAGAUUGUUCAGGUUAUGGCUCUGCCCAUCCCAAUGUCCAGCCCAAAGCAAGUGUUCAAUAAAUGCCAUUAUUCAA